ACGGCUCAGUAACACGUGGACAACCUGCCCUAAGGUCUGGAAUAACCCCGGGAAACUGGGGAUAAUACCGGAUAAAUCAUAGAUGCUGGAAUGCUCUGUGGUUAAAAGCUCCGGCGCCUUAGGAUGGAUCUGCGGCCUAUCAGGUAGUAGUGGGUGUAAUGUACCUACUAGCCUACGACGGGUACGGGUUGUGAGAGCAAGAGCCCGGAGAUGGAUUCUGAGACAUGAAUCCAGGCCCUACGGGGCGCAGCAGGCGCGAAAACUUUACAAUGCGGGAAACCGCGAUAAGGGGACACUGAGUGCCAGCACCAUGUGUUGGCUGUCCGCAUGUAUAAAUCACAUGUGUCAGCAAGGGCCGGGCAAGACCGGUGCCAGCCGCCGCGGUAACACCGGCGGCCCGAGUGGUGGCCAUUAUUAUUGGGUCUAAAGGGUCCGUAGCCGGUUUGAUCAGUCUUCCGGGAAAUCUGACAGCUCAACUGUUAGGCUUCUGGGGGAUACUGUCAGACUUGGAACCGGGAGAGGUAAGAGGUACUACAGGGGUAGGAGUGAAAUCUUGUAAUCCUUGUGGGACCACCAGUGGCGAAGGCGUCUUACCAGAACGGGUUCGACGGUGAGGGACGAAAGCUGGGGGCACGAACCGGAUUAGAUACCCGGGUAGUCCCAGCCGUAAACGAUGCUCGCUAGGUGUCUGGGAUGGUGCGACCGUUUCAGGUGCCGCAGGGAAGCCGUGAAGCGAGCCACCUGGGAAGUACGGCCGCAAGGCUGAAACUUAAAGGAAUUGGCGGGGGAGCAC
rnacentral:rRNA from 1 species